GACGAACGCUGGCGGCGUGCCUAAUACAUGCAAGUAGAACGCACAGUUUAUACCGUAGCUUGCUACACCAUAAACUGUGAGUUGCGAACGGGUGAGUAACGCGUAGGUAACCUGCCUGGUAGCGGGGGAUAACUAUUGGAAACGAUAGCUAAUACCGCAUAAUAUUGAUUAUUGCAUGAUAAUUGAUUGAAGGAUGCUAUUGCAUCACUACCAGAUGGACCUGCGUUGUAUUAGCUAGUAGGUGAGGUAACGGCUCACCUAGGCGACGAUACAUAGCCGACCUGAGAGGGUGAUCGGCCACACUGGGACUGAGACACGGCCCAGACUCCUACGGGAGGCAGCAGUAGGGAAUCUUCGGCAAUGGACGAAAGUCUGACCGAGCAACGCCGCGUGAGUGAAGAAGGUUGUCGGAUCGUAAAGCUCUGUUGUAAGAGAAGAACGGGUGUGAGAGUGGAAAGUUCACACUGUGACGGUAUCUUACCAGAAAGGGGCGGCUAACUACGUG
rnacentral:rRNA from 1 species